rnacentral:lncRNA from 1 species
GGGGGUAGUUAUUUGAAAGGCUCUAACAGCAAAACCUGUGGUGUCCUUGAGAAGAAGAAAUUCUGCCUCAAGCCAGCAGCAUCAGCUCUUGCCUGUUUCUAGCCUGGUGGACUGCCCUAUAAAUUUCAGACUUGCUGGACCUCAGGACCAUGCACUGUUUUAGUUGCUGUGGGUGUCGGCAAGUGAGAGGUAAUGGAGGCUGCAGCACGGAUAAGAGAAGCCACUGGUUGGGUUUUGUGUAUUGAUGGCCACUAACCACAGUCUCCUUUCCCUUGCACUCACCAUGCAGAGGGGAGAAUGUUGAGGUGGUAAGGAUAGUUUUGGAUCUGAAGCAGUUUAUAAACAAAGAUGAAAUGUUGCCAGCAUCAACGCCCUGAUUGUGACAAAUUAUGAUUGUAACAACAUGGUUGAGAUGGGCUGUGUCAGAGCGCAAGACCACCCUCCCUCCACAUCGGGUCUUCCUCACUCAUCAGCAUUCAAGUCGACAGAAAACUGUGGACUAGAGAAAAAGAGUUUUGUGGGUUGGAUAGUAGGACGUUGACCAAAUUCUCAUCUGAUGGCCUUUUUAUUUUCCUCUGAAGAAAGAGGUGGCAAAGUUUCAAGGAAAGAGAUGACCAAAUUAAAGUUACUAAAUUGGAGGAGUUACUGUAGGACAGGACUGGACUUUGAAUGUGAUUAGAGACUUAACUGAUCCGUCUACAUUGGCGAUGAACUCCCACUUCUUCAAUCUCCACCGGUAUCAUUAGUAACAAUUCUUUCAGUCUAGAGAAGCAGUUUUGCUGGAUGAAAAGGCCAAAGGAGUUGAGAAUAUUAGAAACAGAAUGAUUUAAGUGAUAAUCCAUGCACAGAAAAAGAAGGGAGAAAAAGAAGGGGAAUAUGGAAAAUGAGACAGAAGAGAGAUCAAAAGAACAAAGUCAAAAUGAGAUAAAACCAGGGACGUCUUAAAGACAUACAGAGUCACAAUGUUGAAAGAUUGUGAUCAAAUAGUUUAAAAACCCAAUGAAUGAUUUUAGAGAUAAAAGAGCUCCAGAGAAUCUUGAGCUCUAUUGAUGUCAGUCCAAGUAUCUGAAAUCAACCUGAGGGAAAAUUUCCUUUGGGUUUAGACCUAUGGAUUAUUUUCACUUGUUCUUUCCUUUCAUUGUCUGCUUCUUCCUGCGUUGCUCCCCAGCCCUCAUGUGUACUGACUACAUCACAGCAAUCUCAUCUCUCCAUAGAAGAGCAGAUAGAGCAAAGCAAUCAGUGGUCCCUUUACCACUGGAUUCCGCUAAGAGUUUGCUUAAGUCACAUGAAAAGCUGCUAUGUUAACCAUCUCAAAUAGUAUUUGCAUAGCAGUGGAAGCCUUAUUGUCUCACUUUCAUGAAACUGUAAAUGGUGGACAUAUUGUAGAUUGAAAUUCAGAGAUGAGGAAAAUAUUGGUUUCCCCAUGUUGUGUUAUACAUCGCUAUACUUUCAUGAUACUGCCGAUCAAGCUAUUAAGACCACUAAGGAAUUCUAGGUUUUGCAACAAUGUAGCUCAGAGUUGGCAAGUAAAUAGCAUGCAUGCUGCCUAAUUGAUAACUGCAUUUUUCCAGCUGUGUGGAGAAUUAACUGAGGAAUUCUUCUGGACAUACUGUCUCAAGCAGUCACUAGCAAUUCGUCAGAAUUUGGACUUCAGAAGCAAGCUAUGUGACAUUUCUAGCCGUUCCUUAGGAAACCCAGAGGAUUCCACGUAAUUGUCUUUGGCUCUGGUACCACAGGCAAAUAUUCAAGGACAAGUUACAUCUAAAGGGACAGGGAUGAUUUGGUUUGAUGACAUUCACAAGCACAGUGGGCUUCCUGAAAUCUAAUCAAUCCAAGACAGAUCUGCAGAGACUUCUAAAGCCAGAGGCGAACCUAGACUUUCUUCCUUUCCACAAAGGCUUCCAUCGGCCCUUCAUGAGUCUGGAAUUUCACAUUAUUAAGGGGGCAUUGAUUCUGCUCUCCAGCAUGGCUAUGUCUCCUUCCUCCCAUAUUUGAUGACUUUAGUGGGAAAACAAAUAUCCAACACGCUUCUAGACACGAAAUCCAAAAAGGAGUGAAUACAAAAUGAAGAUCCUUCAAGGGGACAAGGGAGCCUGAUUUAUUUAAAGGAGAAUUCAACUGUGCCCUGCACCACACACACACCUGCAGAAGUUCUUACGCACGUUGAAGGCACGCACAGGAUGUAACCUCCAUUCGUGUUACCAACAGACUGGUUAUAGAAAAACUGCUGUUUUACAAAUGGAUUUAUUUGACAAGGGUGACA